CAAUUUCUAGGAAAGAUAAUGGCUGGGAAAUAUUUAAAAUCCUUUAUUUCCAAGUUUUCUUAAAGAUAAAAUGUGUAUCCAGGGAGAGUUGCUGUACUUAAACCAUUUUAAAAUCUUCUAGUUUAAUUUUUUUUGCCCUACCACAAUCAGCAUAAACCGACUGGAACUAUGACAACAUCAACAGAUGCAGUCAGAAAAUCAGGAUCUGGCAAAGUAAAUUAUAGCAUCCAGUAUGACACUACACAUCGAAUUGUUUGUCUUGUUGAAGGCUAAAGAAAUUUCUUGUUUACCUUGAAAUACAGUCCAAAACCUAUACAUAUUCAGUGUACUCUCAAAUUGGACAAAAAAGAACUUCGUAAUGUUUGUCCUCUAGUAAAAAUAGUUGCUGAUUAUAUACUAGUUGAUUAAUCAGUCAAGUCAGUUGGUUCAGCGCUAAAUGGUUCGUUUUUUAAACGAUGUACAUAUAAGGAAACAUUGUGGCAGGGCUCAAGCACUUUUUUAUGAAUUUUUGUAUGUAUUUAUAAAGGACGUCGCACAUUAAUUAACAUUUCUGUAAAUGUGCCAGUGUUAGCCAGCUGGCAGAUUUUUCACUGUAUGCCUUUGGAAAGAUGUUUUGAGACCAGAGCAAAAGCUUGAGCUAACAUUCCUUUUAGGUCUCUUCUCUUUAAUAAUAAACACCUCUAGCACCAAUAAGCACCUCUACGGUGCUUAUUUCUUUGACAGGUCUGUUUCUUUGAUGCUGAUGGGUUUUUUCCUACUCCAGUAAUUAAUGUACUCAACAUCAACAUAAUGCAAUGUUGAUACUGUUGCAAAUCAGUAAGCAUGGCUUCCAGAGACCUAGCAUUAGCCAGAUUUGGUUGAACAAUGUCAACAUACUGUUUUAUCCACUUGUUCGGCUGUCCAGUGGGGCAUGUCGUGAAGCUCUGGCUUCUCAUUUUGCAUUCAACACACAUGGAUUAGGCUACAAAAUAUUUAAUUAACUAAAACAAACAAUGGACUUACUGUCAAAACCUUCAGGUAGAACUUGCGUUUUUAAAUGGAUGUGACUAGGCCUGAAAGACUUAUUAUCUGAUUCACAGGGCGUGUCAUUAUGUGAUUCACAGGGUGUGUCAGACAGAAACAUGUUGGGUACUAAAGGUUUUGGGAUGAGCAGUGAUAUCACUGCAGGCUUUGUGUCCUUGACACACAUGGGCUGUGCUCGACACAGCCUUUCCAACAUGCUGCAUGGUUUUCUGUAGCAAUAUGCAGCAGGUUUCAGAGCUGAUCUAUGAAAAUGGAUCUGACACCACUGAUUGGUGUGGCCAUAGGUGCUGAAAUUAAUGUCUGACCAGCAGCCUUUUUUUGCCCUUUUUGUUUAAUGAGUUUUGAUUUAUCCAUUAAGGUAAAUUUAAUUCACAAAUACGUGUUGUAAAAUGGCUCCUUUUGCAUUGCAUAAUUCUCUUCUCCCAUCCAU